UCCUACGGGAGGCAGCAGUGAGGAAUAUUGGUCAAUGGGCGCGAGCCUGAACCAGCCAAGUAGCGUGAAGGAUGAAGGUCCUAUGGAUUGUAAACUUCUUUUAUAGCAGAAUAAAGUGACCCACGUGUGGGUUUUUGUAUGUAUGCUAUGAAUAAGGAUCGGCUAACUCCGUGCCAGCAGCCGCGGUAAUA
rnacentral:rRNA from 1 species